rnacentral:lncRNA from 1 species
CCCCGCUACUGAACUGAUUCAAAAUAGCUCAUGUCAUCAGUCCCAAAUAAAAAUGAGUGACAGAUGAAGAGAUCUCAGUGGUUAUUCUCACUGCCCACAGUGAGUCUUAUACAAAAGAGGAACCUAGAGGUUAAAAUUGACAGUAUUCAAUAAUCCCACAAGACACUCCAUGUUUUGGCAGAAGAGGAAGCUACUAUAUUAUAAAAAAAAUGAAUAAGACUAUCAGACACCCCAAGAUCUUUGUCCAUGAUACAAAAGGACUGAAAAACUUUUGGGAAAAAAUCAUCGAAAAACACACUCAGCAACAGCAAGGCGAAGACUCUAGAUUAAGCAGAAGUGCCCUGAAGAAACUCCGACGUGAAUGGACCCAGAGGCUGGAAGGCCGAAUAAAAAUGCUACAAAAGUCCUGUGGAGAGCAGGAAGGACAGAUGUCCCUAUUAUCAAUUGAAACAUUUCAGCCAAUAGAUAAAACAGCUGCAUAA